UACGUAGGGUGCAAGCGUUGUCCGGAAUUAUUGGGCGUAAAGAGCUCGUAGGCGGUCUGUCGCGUCUGCUGUGAAAACUCGGGGCUUAACCCCGGGCCUGCAGUGGGUACGGGCAGACUAGAGUGCGGUAGGGGAGACUGGAAUUCCUGGUGUAGCGGUGAAAUGCGCAGAUAUCAGGAGGAACACCGGUGGCGAAGGCAAUCCCGUGGCCUGCAACUGACGCUCAUGCACGAAAGCGUGGGGAGCAAACAGG
rnacentral:rRNA from 1 species